rnacentral:lncRNA from 1 species
CAUUUCUAUGGCUCACAAAACAUAAAUAGAUUCAUGAUUUCAUUGAUAAUAUAUUUUCCCCCUUUUUAAGUGUUUCAUUUUAAGUGAUCGAUUUCAUGUUAGCAUGCCUUUUCAUUUAUGAAAACAUGCAUCCAUUUUUUUUUUUUAAAGCCACUGUUAUUAUCAUGAAAAUCGAUAAUCAGGAAUCACCAUAAUUUCAAAAAUAUAUACUCAUUAAUCAUAACUUCAAAUUGAACAUGAUUUCAUAUACUCAAAAUCGAGAAAUAACAA